UCGGCGCCGUGUGACAACAUGUUUUAAAAGGAGGGAUUUCAGUCACAAAGUGUACGCGAUUCCCACAAAACAGGCAGCCCCCGGUGCCCGCAGCUCAGCGGGAGACGUUGCUCGGGGCUCCCGGCCGCGAAGAGCCUUGUGGCAGCACCAGCUGCCUGGGAAGUCGUUGAUAAUUUUCACGGCGGCGAUUGCGAAAUCCCCCUCUUGGGACUCGGCCAAUGAGGAAGCCUUUGGGGGGGGGGGGGCAGCAGCACAACCCCCAGGCUCGCUUUGAAAUCUCAUCUUUGCCUGUGGCGCCCUCCCCCCUCACCCCGUAGGGGCGGGACCACGAGCCAGCCCCCGGGAGUAUAAAGGCAGCAACAGGCAGGCAGAGCUUUAAGCAUCAGGAAGAUACAGUUCCCACUGAUCUAAGGUCGGGUCUCAGGAAGACACACUAGAGGGGAGGAAACAGGAAACCACUUGCUGCAAAGGGAAGAAAGAGGAUCCUUCUGACUCAGAGGAAGCAGCAGCCAAGUCUUGAAGGGGGAAGUGCACUUAAGUUAUCCUUCUUCAAACCACUUCACCCUUAGGACUGGAUUUCAGUUUCACCUGGAAAAUGAUGUGAUUUCUACCUGCAGGCAGUGGAACAAUUCCAUUUGGAAUGAACAAACCUUCCUGGAGUCUUUCCACUUCAGUGUUCGCAGCAUUACUGAUGAACCUCCUCAGCGCAUAAUUGAUACAGAAUCCAUGAAGCUGUAGUACGUCAGCAUCAUUGUUGACCCAAACUCAUGAUGUAACUAUGCAGCAAGGCUAAUGUGUAGUGGUGUGAUAAUUUCGGAACCAUUAAAUACCAUACACUCCAUAAUUGAAAAACGCCUUCUUUAAAUGUCUUUUUUGAAACUUCUUGUUGGCUGAGUUAUACGCUUCUUUAUCUAUCAAACUGCUGCACCAACAGGCACAAAAGUAGCUGACCUCUCUAAACUACAAUCACCUGGGUUUGAAUAAUGUUCUGAGGCUUUUAUUUUGGCCAUUUCAGACCAAAAGAUUUAAGUGGCUUCAUAUAAAAAUCACUUGUUUAUUUGAAAGCUGUUCAUCAGGCUCACUUGCCGGAAAAACAUCCACAAAACAUUUGGAUGACUUACCGGUAGGUUCUUGCUUCAGAUUACUAGCAGCUUGUGUAGCAUCACCUAACAUUAUUGCACAGCAUGGAAAGAUGGUAGAAUUGCCUUGUCCAUGCCAUGCAUGGAAUGAAAUUGCACAACCAUAGUAUUUGCCUUUGGUUGUCUACUGGAAUUGCUUGUCAUUUCUACAUCAGGAGGAAAUAGAGCUUUAGAUCUCUGCAGCAGCAUUCUUGUUCUACAUAAGAUCUGUCUCUUCAAUCAGUUGA